AUAUGACCUUAGCUACCGUUUAUAAUCUUUCACCCUCACUUGCCCAAACUCCCACCGUUUCACUUUGAUAGUCGCUCUUGGUCAAGUUUGGCUAUGGCAACCGAGAACAGGAACGCUCAAGAGGUUCUUCCUCCAUCACUCAAUUCUACUUCCACCCGCCCUCCUCUUUUUGAUGGAACUACCAUGUUGAACAUAAAGCUACAGAAGUCCAUUCGCUCAACGGGCUUGGAUUACAAGGAAUUACACAAGGGACAACAAGAAAAGAAAAGAUUGUAUUAGUUGCUAUCGACCUAGAAAAUAAGCCUCUUUGGUGCAAAGAAGUGUAUUCUGCAAAAAAGGAUCCUGCAAGAAGAGAAUUUGGAGAGGAAUUGCCAUCUUACUCUGAAACAUUUAAUAAUAUGGUCUAUAACUCGAUCAUUUAAAGGAGUAGUAGUUAGAGAAGCUGGUGUAUAUGGCAUAUAUCCCAUUUGGUUGAAAGAGCCCACAUAUUCUUACCUCAAGUGUGGAAGUAUGAUAUCACCAAGGGCAGGCAUAAAACAAGCAUCAUGGAUUGAGGAAAUGAACAAAAUUGAUGCUUGUAAGCAAACAAAGAUUGAUCCAAAAGAGAUCAUUGAAUUUUACAAGAAGCGCUUCCUGGUACCAUACCUCUUUUACACAAACAACCAUAUAUAUAUAUAUGUCCACACACACUGCGAAUAUGAUUUUUGCUGGUUUCUUUUCCCUCCUAUUUAUUUUGGCUGCAGGCCCAACAAUGAGCAUGCCAAUAUUUGUUCUUUUUUUAAAGUCUUAAAUUUUAUUUUUAUAUGA